CACAGACUGGGGACGAGCACUUCAGACCAUAAUGGAAGCCAGCCUUUCUGCACACAGAGGGCCGGGGCGCCUGACUCCAAGGUUUGGGUGAUAAACGGGUGGAGGGAAGGCAUAAGCACUGUCCUUCCAGGGCAGACAGUCCACCAGUGCCUCCCCACCUCGAGGUUCCCACUUUGAGAGGAAAUCUACACCCUUUCUCCUACCCCUGGCUGUGAUGAACUAAAUCUCACACCUCUGUCUUGGUGGUGAUAAUUAAAUAUUAUCCGCCUGUCACUUGACGCACAUGUUGUGUGUAUUCUCAGACUUUAAUGAGCUCAUAUUUGUCUUCUGUAAGCAAAAAUAUUUCUUUGAGUCUCUUCUUUUUCAAACUGGGGUGAGCAGUUCAAGCAAAGAUCUCUCACUAUUAAAAAGACAGUCUGCUCCCAUGCAUGUCUGUCUGAACCGUGUCUGCUACUUCUCAGGGGCCAUGGCAGGUGAUGUUUGUCCCUUCAAAGUCAGCCAGUGCUUCCUGAGGUUAAGCUGGUGGUCACAUGGCUGCGGGUGUUGGGAGACUUUGAAAGUGAUGAGAAUAAGAAGAUUUCCUUGGAGGGAGCGAGUACUCUGA
rnacentral:lncRNA from 1 species